rnacentral:rRNA from 1 species
ACUACUGGGUGGCUGCAGUGGGGAAUAUUGGACAAUGGGCGAAAGCCUGAUCCAGCCAUGCCGCGUGUGUGAAGAAGGCCUUCGGGUUGUAAAGCACUUUCAGUGGGGAAGAAAGCCUUGGGGCUAAUACCCUCGAGGAAGGACAUCACCCACAGAAGAAGCACCGGCUAACUCCGUGCCAGCAGCCGCGGUAAUACGGAGGGUGCGAGCGUUAAUCGGAAUUACUGGGCGUAAAGCGCGCGUAGGCGGUCUGAUAAGCCGGUUGUGAAAGCCCCGGGCUCAACCUGGGAACGGCAUCCGGAACUGUCAGGCUAGAGUGCAGGAGAGGAAGGUAGAAUUCCCGGUGUAGCGGUGAAAUGCGUAGAGAUCGGGAGGAAUACCAGUGGCGAAGGCGGCCUUCUGGACUGACACUGACGCUGAGGUGCGAAAGCGUGGGUAGCAAACAGGAUUAGAUACCCUGGUAGUC